CAGUAGCCACGGUAAUACGAGGGGUGCAAGCGUUAUUCGGAUUGAUUGGGUGUAAAGGGUGUGCAGACGGCUUAUUAAGUCACUUGUUAAAUUCUUCGGCCUAACUGAAGGUCUGCAAGUGAUACUGAUGAGCUAGAGGGUGGAAGAGAGAAGUGGAAUUCUCGGAGUAGCGGUGAAAUGCGUAGAGAUGUGGAGGAACACCAGUGGCGAAGGCGACUCUCUGGUCUGUAACUGACGCUGAGGAGCGAAAGCGUGGGGAGUGAACAGGAUUAGAUACGCGCGUAGUCCCUGUCUCUUAUAC
rnacentral:rRNA from 1 species